UGAAUAUUCAGAAGUUAUUGUAGAGGAUU
rnacentral:piRNA from 1 species